rnacentral:rRNA from 1 species
UACGUAGGCAGCGAGCGUUGUUCGGCAUUAUUGGGCGUAAAGAGUGUGUAGGCGGUGCUCUAAGUCUGUCGUGAAAUCUCCCGGCUUAACUGGGAGGGUGCGGCGGAAACUGGAAUGCUAGAGGGUGGGAGAGGAAAGCGGAAUUCCUGGUGUAGCGGUGAAAUGCGUAGAUAUCAGGAGGAACACCGGCGGUGUAGGCAGCGUUCUGGACCACUUCUGACGCUGAGACGCGAAAGCGUGGGUAGCAAACAGG